UGCCAGCCGCCGCGGUAAUACGGAGGGUGCAAGCGUUACUCGGAAUUACUGGGCGUAAAGAGCGUGUAGGCGGGUUAAUAAGUUUGAAGUGAAAUACUGUGGCUCAACCAUAGAACUGCUUUGAAAACUGUAAACCUAGAAUGUGGGAGAGGUAGAUGGAAUUUCUGGUGUAGGGGUAAAAUCCGUAGAGAUCAGAAGGAAUACCGAUUGCGAAGGCGAUUUACUGGAACACUAUUGACGCUGAGACGCGAAAGCGUGGGGAGCGAACAGGAUUAGAUA
rnacentral:rRNA from 1 species